AUUGAACGCUGGCGGCAGGCCUAACACAUGCAAGUCGAACGAGUGGCGGACGGGUGAGUAAUGUCUGGGAAACUGCCCGAUGGAGGGGGAUAACUACUGGAAACGGUAGCUAAUACCGCAUACCAUCGGAUGUGCCCAGAUGGGAUUAGCUUGUAGGUGAGGUAAUGGCUUACCUAGGCGACGAUCCCUAGCUGGUCUGAGAGGAUGACCAUCCACACUGGUACUGAUACACGGCCAAGACUCCUACGGGAGGCAGAAGUGGGGAAUAUUGCACAAUGGGCGCAAGCCUGAUGCAGCCAUGCCGCGUGUAUGAAGAAGGCCGUAGGGUUGUAAAGUACUUUCAGUCGGGAGGCGUUACCGACAGAAGAAGAACCGGCUAACGCCGUGCCAGCAGCCGCGGUAAUAC
rnacentral:rRNA from 1 species